GUUGCCUAUUAGUUUGUUUUGACAAAGAUCAAAAUAUUUCCACAGAAUAAUAAAAAUAACAUUAUUCUUAUUUCAACUCCAUACAACUAUUUAACAUUCACAAUUUUAUUCAACAGCACACUUUAUUCAGAUGCAUCUCUUGUUUGUGUGUGUAUGUGUGCAACACAGAUUCAAAUUUGCCGCCAAUUCCCGCCCACAACGUCGAAUGUGUCGUAGGUCGUAACAGUCGAAUGAGCAGCAAUGAUUUGGUCACGUGUUUUAGAAGUUUGAAUUCACAAACGGAUGUGAGAUGCGUCUCCUCGACUGUGGAGCAUAUGCGGGAAAUAUAAUCACGAAAGGCAAGAAAUGAUGGCACAGCUACAGAGUAUUGAGCAAAUAGAUGUAAAUGUUAAAAAUAUUUUAUAUUUAGCGGAAAAAGGACAAGGAGCAAGUUAUUUUUUUGACUAUCUAAAAGAAACUGGACUGAACAAGAGAAUUUAGGAGGAGACAAAUAUGAACAGAAGAUGGCAGUAGUGCAACAAACCGGAUGCAAGCUGCCGCUAAACACCAAAGAAGAAGAAGAAGAAGAAGAAGAUCAGUCUCCGACCUCAACGGGUUUGCGCGGGUAACUUAUCUUCGAUUCACUGCUUUAGUGCUUUGGUGAGCCAUCCUCGGAUAUCAUGGAGCUGCAUUUGCAUUUUGGAAUAAAGAAUAUGUUUUCUCCUGCGUUUCGAACGAAGGGUGGGAGCGUCAUCGGUGCGACAUCUCCCGGGUUUCUCCAUGUACAACGUGUGAUGGUGAUUUUCUCGUGGACGUUACUCUGGACAGAGUGAGAGAGAAGACAUUGCCCAGCCCCGUUGAUCCACUGAUGAUGAUGUUGGUCUGUUUACAGAAUCCAUUUGAAUGAUAUUUUGUGGUGUGCGUGACGCACGUGGUCAGGCCUGCACAUGAUAGGUUAUGUGGAAAAGCCUGGGCUUGGUGGAGAUCUACUGCAGAUGACCACAGCAUCCCAGUUCCCAAGAGGGGACUGUUUUAGUCAUUUUCUACUGGGCAAACUGAAUUACUCCAGAUUAUAGAAAAACCUGUGCUUGUGGAUCUACAUCGGAUGACCAUGGCAACCCAGGUGUGGAAAUAUUAGACUGUUUUUAAUCUGAAAUCUGUGUAAUCUAAGAUGGACAAUUCUUCUGACACCAUAUGAAUGCAUACUGUCAUCUGGCAGAAGCUAGAUCAUUUAGAUUAUAAAGUUAUAUGUUUUUACACAUGCAUCUCUUUGCUUCAGAAGGCCUUUAUUAAAGGACUAGUUCACCUCAAAAUGAACAUUUCCUGAUCAUUAAAGGAAUAGUCUACUCAUUUUCAAUAUUAAACUAUGUUAUUACCUUAACUAAGAAGAGUUGAUACAUCCCUCUAUCAUCUGUGUGCGUGCAUGUAAG